rnacentral:rRNA from 1 species
GACGAACGCUGGCGGCCUGCCUAAUACAUGCAAGUCGAGCGAAUGACGAGAAGCUUGCUUCUCUGAUUUAGCGGCGGACGGGUGAGUAACACGUGGGCAACCUGCCCUACAGAUCGGGAUAACUCAGGGAAACCUGGGCUAAUACCGGAUAAUCCUUCGAAUCACAUGUUUUGAAGUUGAAAGGCGCUUCGGCGUCACUGUAGGAUGGGCCCGCGGUGCAUUAGCUAGUUGGUGGGGUAACGGCCUACCAAAGCAACGAUGCAUAGCCGACCUGUGAGGGUGAUCGACCACAUUGGGACUGAGACACGGCCCACACUCCUACGGGAGGCAGCAGUAGGGAAUCUUCCACAAUGGACGAAAGUCUGAUGGAGCAACGCCGCGUGAGUGACGAAGGUUUUCGGAUCGUAAAACUCUGUUGUAAGGGAAGAACAAGUACGUUAGGAAAUGAACGUACCUUGACGGUACCUUAUUAGAAAGCCACGGCUAACUACGUGCCAGCCGCCGCGGUAACAC